GACGAACGCUGGCGGCGUGCUUAACACAUGCAAGUCGAACGGAAAGGCCCUGCUUUUGUGGGGUGCUCGAGUGGCGAACGGGUGAGUAACACGUGAGUAACCUGCCCUUGACUUUGGGAUAACUUCAGGAAACUGGGGCUAAUACCGGAUAGGAGCUCCUGCUGCAUGGUGGGGGUUGGAAAGUUUCGGCGGUUGGGGAUGGACUCGCGGCUUAUCAGCUUGUUGGUGGGGUAGUGGCUUACCAAGGCUUUGACGGGUAGCCGGCCGGAGAGGGUGACCGGCCACAUUGGAACUGAGAUGCGGCCCAGCCUCCUACCGGAGGCAGCAGUGGGGAAGAUUGCACAGCGGGCGGAAGCCUGAUGCAGCGACGCCGCGUGCGGGAUGACGGCCUUCGGGUUGUAAACCGCUUUCGCCUGUGCCGAAGCGUGAGUGACGGUAAUGGGUAAAGAAGCACCGGCUAACUACGUG
rnacentral:rRNA from 1 species